CAAUUUAAACAACGAAGAGUUUGAUCCUGGCUCAGGAUGAACGCUAGCGACAGGCUUAACACAUGCAAGUCGAGGGGCAGCACAGGUAGCAAUACCGGGUGGCGACCGGCGCACGGGUGAGUAACGCGUAUGCAACUUGCCUAUCAGAGGGGGAUAACCCGGCGAAAGUCGGACUAAUACCGCAUGAAGCAGGGAUCCCGCAUGGGAAUAUUUGCUAAAGAUUCAUCGCUGAUAGAUAGGCAUGCGUUCCAUUAGGCAGUUGGCGGGGUAACGGCCCACCAAACCGACGAUGGAUAGGGGUUCUGAGAGGAAGGUCCCCCACAUUGGUACUGAGACACGGACCAAACUCCUACGGGAGGCAGCAGUGAGGAAUAUUGGUCAAUGGCCGAGAGGCUGAACCAGCCAAGUCGCGUGAGGGAUGAAGGUUCUAUGGAUCGUAAACCUCUUUUAUAAGGGAAUAAAGUGCGGGACGUGUCCCGUUUUGUAUGUACCUUAUGAAUAAGGAUCGGCUAACUCCGUGCCAGCAGCCGCGGUAAUACGGAGGAUCCGAGCGUUAUCCGGAUUUAUUGGGUUUAAAGGGUGCGUAGGCGGCCUUUUAAGUCAGCGGUGAAAGUCUGUGGCUCAACCAUAGAAUUGCCGUUGAAACUGGGGGGCUUGAGUAUGUUUGAGGCAGGCGGAAUGCGUGGUGUAGCGGUGAAAUGCAUAGAUAUCACGCAGAACCCCGAUUGCGAAGGCAGCCUGCCAAGCCAUUACUGACGCUGAUGCACGAAAGCGUGGGGAUCAAACAGGAUUAGAUACCCUGGUAGUCCACGCAGUAAACGAUGAUCACUAGCUGUUUGCGAUACACUGUAAGCGGCACAGCGAAAGCGUUAAGUGAUCCACCUGGGGAGUACGCCGGCAACGGUGAAACUCAAAGGAAUUGACGGGGCCCGCACAAGCGGAGGAACAUGUGGUUUAAUUCGAUGAUACGCGAGGAACCUUACCCGGGUUUGAACGCAUUCGGACCGAGGUGGAAACACCUUUUCUAGCAAUAGCCGUUUGCGAGGUGCUGCAUGGUUGUCGUCAGCUCGUGCCGUGAGGUGUCGGCUUAAGUGCCAUAACGAGCGCAACCCUUGCCACUAGUUACUAACAGGUUAGGCUGAGGACUCUGGUGGGACUGCCAGCGUAAGCUGCGAGGAAGGCGGGGAUGACGUCAAAUCAGCACGGCCCUUACAUCCGGGGCGACACACGUGUUACAAUGGCGUGGACAAAGGGAGGCCACCUGGCGACAGGGAGCGAAUCCCCAAACCACGUCUCAGUUCGGAUCGGAGUCUGCAACCCGACUCCGUGAAGCUGGAUUCGCUAGUAAUCGCGCAUCAGCCAUGGCGCGGUGAAUACGUUCCCGGGCCUUGUACACACCGCCCGUCAAGCCAUGGGAGCCGGGGGUACCUGAAGUCCGUAACCGAAAGGAUCGGCCUAGGGUAAAACUGGUGACUGGGGCUAAGUCGUAACAAGGUAGCCGUACCGGAAGGUGCGGCUGGAACACCUCCUUUCU
rnacentral:rRNA from 1 species